UACGGAGGGUGCAAGCGUUAUCCGGAUUCACUGGGUUUAAAGGGUGCGUAGGCGGCUAUAUAAGUCAGUGGUGAAAGCCCGCAGCUCAACUGCGGAACUGCCAUUGAAACUGCAUAGCUUGAAUCUGGUUGAAGUGGGCGGAAUACAUCAUGUAGCGGUGAAAUGCUUAGAUAUGAUGUAGAACACCGAUUGCGAAGGCAGCUCACUAAGCCAACAUUGACGCUGAGGCACGAAAAGCGUGGGUAGCGAACAGG
rnacentral:rRNA from 1 species